UUCUCACUCUAUUAAAUUAUCACUGUUCUUCAUCGAAUUUCCUAAAAAAAAUUAUUGCAUUAACUUGAUAUUUAUUUUAGGUCCGAUGCACCUCGAGUAUUGGCAAUCUGUCAUAGAUUACACGUGCUUUGUAAACAUUGGCGAGGUCGGGGUAGCAGUGCGCAUCCUUGGCCUCGAUGUUGGCAAUCUUUGAAUAAGUGCUACCAGUGGUGUAGCCAGAGGGGUUUAUAAAGGUAUUGUGAUCUCUGUUAGAUCUUAAUCGCAAAGAACCUUUAUUACUUCAAUUAAUUAUGUUCUUACUCGAUUAAAUAGUAUCAAUAAAAUAUUUUAUAUGUCGGUUAUAAAUGAAAUGCAUAAUAAUUCUGAAAUUUUAUGCAUAUCCGAAAUUUACUUUCCAAGGAUGUAUUACUACGUGCAGCAUCCUUCUUAGUCCUGAAACGAUUUUCGAUGCACACAAUUCGGACAUGCGCCAUUGAAUUUAGGUUAUUCGACGCUUGACCGAAAUUGAGAUUGAAGAUUUCUUACUGCAUUUUAAUAUCAAGGAUACCUUUUAUUCUUCCGCUCUAUACAAUCAUCGGUCACACAAUUUUAGCGCAGAAAUAAAUUUCUAACUUUAAUAAAGCUUUAUCACUUCGUUUCCAAGGAUUGAAUAUGCCUACUAGGUGUGGUUUAAAAAGAUGUUGGAUGAGUUGUGAAAUGGACAAGGAGUAAGGAUAUUUUAACGCAAUGGAAUAUAUUAUAAUAAAGAAGAGGACAUCAAAGACGUACAACUUGAACUUCCUUUAUUUAAAUGAAUCAGAGGUAAUAUGAACCGUCGAUGUAACGUUGCUUGUACAAAAAUCAAACUCAACAUCAAUCUGCAUUGCCUGCUUUUAAUUCUUGAAUACUAUCAACGCAAUUAUCUGAGAAGUGCGAGCUAUUGCGUGUUAUUCUAAUUAAUCGGAACUUCGACAUUGACGAACGGAUAUGGGUGUCGCAACCGCUCAUAUUCCCCGUGGUAUAUACGUAUAAAAUACUCAUAUAUCUCACAACCAGAAGUUAAUAAUCAGAACUGUACCGCUUCUCCCGUGCAUACAAGAAAAUAAAUAAACAUAGAAAAAAAGCUUGGCCAUAAGUAACUUUUUUCAUCGCGUAUAUAUAUAUUAUAUAUAAUAUAAUAUAAUAUAAUAUAAUAUAAUAUAAUAUAAUAUAUAUAUUUUUUUAUUCUGUUAUUAUUCGAGCUAUAUAUAUAUAUAUAUAAAUUGUCCGUUCCCUUAUUUAAGUAUGACCGUUUACAAAAGCUACUGUUUCAGUAUCACUUGCCGUCGAUCACGCUUUAAUGCACAUAUGCUUUUCGGUAAAUCGUGUGAAAGUAAACGUGUGUAUAAUAUAAUAUAAUUUGAAACUGCGUGAAUCGUUGGCUUACUUUUUUUCGUUUUGUCUUAUCCGUUUUCGCUUAAACGUAUAUUGUAAUUAUUCACCUUGUACCAUACCGAAUCGAUAAAACUUUAUGAUUGUCUAAUAUUUUUAAUGUAACUAUAUAUUAUAAAUUACGCUUAUCUUAUUCUAACGGUGCUCUUUACCAGUAGCACGAUAGGGGCGAUUGAGUAUUUCUGUACGGCAUGUCUUUUGUAACACCCGUUACACAUAGAAUAACAUCGAUAGUAAUAAAAAUAUAAACAUUAUUUCGUUUCAUUUUUAAACUUUAAAUCAUACAAUUAUAAUUUAAUAGCUAGAUAGUACGUACAAAAUCAAAUGCCAGCACCUCGUUUAACGAGACGGAUUACGUUUGAAAGUGCAUCAAUCACGCACACUAGUUAAGUGUAAAUAAAAAUACUUUCCUGCCGUUGAAAUACUCACAGUGAAAUAAUCGUGAAGAUAGCGAGAGAAAAAAAAAAGAGGCGAAUUAUAUA